rnacentral:tRNA from 5 species
GGGCCCGUAGCUCAGUUGGGAGAGCACUAGCUUUGCAAGCUAGGGGUCGCAGGUUCGAAGCCUGUCGGGUCCA